rnacentral:lncRNA from 7 species
GGUAACGGUAAGCGCUCCCCAUCCCGCCAUCUCCGUCCGUGUUUUUAGCACCAGUUGCAGCAGCCGUGUGAUGUGAUGUGAGCUUUGCACCUCGUUUACUUUGCUGGGCUGCUGCUUUGGUUAGCUUCUUUGGAUCUACGGAUCACGGGCGGCCCAACCGUGCUGUUCCGCAAGAACUUCUAUAGGACCCCGUGCCCUUUUCCCCCUUCUCAAUGCAAAUCAUAUAUGUGUACCUUGCGAUCUGGAACUACAAAAUUUAUGCCGGCCUCUUUUUCUUUUGGUCAGAAGUAGCUGGCCGGAAGGUUACGGUAAAUUGAUCGAUGCUAUGCUACGACCCUGUUUGUUAUUCGCUUUCAUAGUUCUGUAGUGGACGGUGGUUGAUAUCUCUACUCCGUAUCCAGGGAAAAAGUAAAAUUUUGACACGUUAGUAGCUUCAAUGUUGGUCCACUCAAGCUCAAUUGUAUGCGUGCGUCUUUUAUUAAACUGCCUUUGAAUGUGCGCCACCUAAACUAAACUGGAGUAUGCUGAAAUUUUAGCCGUACCACUUAAGACUGAUGUAGUGACAAAAGAAUUGAAGGGGAUUAUGGGUUCCCUAUUCAAAACUAGCCCUCAAUGAGAUAUUUCGCCGCCACUCAAAUUGGACGGCUCUUACUUAUUAGGUUGCAGUCUGAAACUGUCUCUUGAUAUGAGCACAGCUGCAGACUCCAAUCCAUGCUGAAAAAAUUCGAGAGCCUUUGGCCUGCCCGUACCAGCCUACGCGAGUGUUUACUCUACCAUAACGUGCGGCAACUGCCAGUUAGGCCCCGCCAUAGCCGACCCUCUGCCCCAGCCGGCCAGUUGCCGCAAUGUCCGAGGACGUUAUGGCAGAUUGAUCCGGCCGCACCAAUGAUCAAUCUACAGCCAUGUUUGUUUGGCUAGCUAAAUUAUCACAUUUCUAUCUAAGAUUAGUUAUUCAAUUCGAACGACUAACCUUAGAUAAAGUGUGACGUAAUUAGGCACGAACCAAACACCCCCUACAUGUUUAAUCUAGUACACACGACUCGGGUCUACCGUGCUUCGUGCUAACACGACACAAAAUAAUUUCAGACUGAGUUGUCACAAAAUAAUUUCAGACUGAGUUGUGUUGUGUCUAUAUAAUAAAAGCUAGGUUUGGCCUGAUCUAAAGCACAGUGAGCGAUCGUGUCGUGGCAGCCCAAACACGACACAGACAAAAAAAUGUAUAUAUAU